GUGAGUGUGAACACAACACACACACAGUAACACCCAGUCACACCCAGAGUCAUGUGAUUUCCAGUAACUGCCGAGCGGAGGGGGAGGAGCCUCUAGUGAAAGUGUUCAGACUGGUUCUUACUUCAAGCAGCAGACGGAGGAGACGUGAAGUCUGAGGCUGACUGAAGAUGAGUGUUUAUGAGGAGGAAGAGGACAGAGCAGACUCUCCAGGGUUCAGCUGUGUGUCUUUGAAGAGUGACUGGUCCAAUGAUCAUCCUGAUGUUACCUUCAGUAAAGAACCUGGACCCUCAAACACAAAAGGUCAGGACCAAAGACUAAGAGCAGAGUCUCCAGGG